rnacentral:pre_miRNA from 1 species
CCUUAUCAUUCGACUGUCCAGACGGUCUUUAUACUUCUGGACGGAGAACUGAUAAGGGC